UUCUCUACACAGAGAUAAAGCUGAGAGAAACUCUUCCACAAGGUCUCCUUAGAGAUGACAGACAGGAGCUAGUGAACCAGAAUGAGGAGUAAGAAAAUGUGCUGUUCAGUUCAUCUCCUUAUACCACAGAGGUCUCCAUUCUACAGACUUUCUCACAGCUGUUUUUCAGAGGUACACAAAAAUAUAUGAAUUCCAAAGAGGAAACUUUUCCCUCUGGAGAUGCUGAAAGAAAUGGGACAUUCUCAUGAUAUCAAAAUGUGCUGGCUCCUUUCUGUUAAAAAUGAAAUCCUUUUGAAAUCUACAUUUUUAUCAAGGAAAAAGUAUCACAGAAGACCAUUUACUGCUAAUGCUUUAUGACAAGGUAAAAGGAAGAAUUGGAAAGGUAGUCCAGUUGCCAUGGCCACUUCACGGAGUAGGAGACCUUGUCACUGGAGUGCUGACUAUGGCCAUGCCUUACUAUGAUAUAAUAGUUACCUGUUUAGUGGGAACAGUACUGGGAAUGUGUGACACACUGCAUGUGUUUCACCACCAAAUUAUGAGGCAAUGAGACCUGUGGUUACCAUGUGCCACAUUCAUCAGUGAUGUGGUGAUGGUGGGCUUUCUGCUUUCACAGACAUUGAGUUUGCCCACAGAAGGCUAUAUUUGGUCCAAAGCUAGGAAUCUGAGUUUUAGACACCAUUAUUUCUUCAGCGAAGCAUCCACAAACUUCUGUUUAUCAUAUAUUGAUUGUGUAUAUGUGUGGGUUUGUAUAUAUAUAUUUGUGUAGAAUUUAUAUUAUUGUCUUCUGCAUAAGCUGAGACUCAGAAAAUCUUGCAAGCAUUGUUCCUUGAAAAAGAAAUCUUUAGAGGCUGUGUACAAAAUCAGUUUAGAAAGAGAUCAUUUGGGUCAAAGGAUUGGAUUAUAAGUGAAUGGAAAUAAGUGAUUAUAGGGAGUUACUAUAGUAAAAUUAAUUUUGUUUUAUUUGCAUGUAUGUUCAUCUUGCAAUGCUGCUAAAUCAGGAGAAUUAAAAAUAAUUUUGAACAGGUAA